AGAUUAGCUUGCUUUAGUUGUCAGCUAAGUGGCGCACGGGUGAGUAAUGUAUAGAUAACCUGCCCUUAAGAAAGGAAUAACAGUUGGAAACGACUGCUAAUGCCCUAUAUGCCUUUAAUACAUAAGUAUGCAAGGGAAACGCUUUAGUGCUUAAGGAUGGGUCUGUAUGGUAUCAGCUUGUUGGUGAGGUAAUGGCUCACCAAGGCUAUGACGCCUAACUGGUUUGAGAGGAUGAUCAGUCACACUGGAACUGAGACACGGUCCAGACUCCUACGGGAGGCAGCAGUGGGGAAUAUUGCACAAUGGACGAAAGUCUGAUGCAGCAACGCCGCGUGGAGGAUGACACAUUUCGGUGCGUAAACUCCUUUUAUAUAGGAAGAUAAUGACGGUACUAUAUGAAUAAGCACCGGCUAACUCCGUGCCAGCAGCCGCGGUAAUACGGAGGGUGCAAGCGUUACUCGGAAUCACUGGGCGUAAAGAGCGUGUAGGCGGGUAUAUAAGUCAGAAGUGAAAUCCUAUAGCUUAACUAUAGAACUGCUUUUGAAACUGUAUACCUAGAAUGUGGGA
rnacentral:rRNA from 1 species